rnacentral:tRNA from 1 species
GGAGCAUUGGCACAGUAGCUACUGCAGCGGGUUGCUAACCCGUAGACCUCAUACGAGGCCCGUAGGUGCAAGUCCUACAUGCUCCG